rnacentral:sRNA from 1 species
AGUGGAUUGGGAAACUCGUCAAUUAUAUAUGAAAUACCGAGACUCAGCUUAGCCGACCGAUGGCGGGCCCCGCCGGAACCCUGUUCCGGAGCUUUGAUGCCGGGGGAUUACAAAGGGCGGCGAGCACUCAAAACCUGUCUUUUCGGAGUUUCAUCGCAUCCUUUGGUGUGGUUCU